CUCUCCAGCAACCCUCUUCCUGUCGUCACUUCGUCUUCCUCACAUCCCUGCGAUCUCCCCGAUGUGAUCCUCAAACUUCAGUCGGCGGCGUUGAUCAGUAACGUCUCUCCUUUCAAUUAAUCACCUCUUUACUCCGACUUUAAUCGUUUGAUCCAACCCGACUUAAAAGUACCUCUUUGUCUUCCUUAAAAACCCAAAAAGGCUUUCCUAUAAAUAUCGGUCUCCUCCUGCUGCGAUGAGCGCACCUCUCACAAUAUCAGAAAGGAUUCUAAUUUCCAGCGAUCUAUUUCCAUAUCUUCAUACACUCUGCUUGCUGAUCUCAGAGCCGGCCGAUACUCUAACACCACGGAGGUGCAUCUGCUGCAUUUUUGGGAGGCCAGAAAUAUCACCAGUGAAGACCUCAUCAGUGUUGACAUGUUGCUCAUCAAUGAGAAUGCUACGAUGGUUCAUGGGUCUGUUACUGCUCUUCGCCAGCUCAAGUUCAGGCAACAACUGUCUGAGGGAAGUGUCUACCGUUGCUUAUGAAUCUUUCACCCUCCUUACCGAUCUGAAAGCUGGGUGCUGCUCCAACACUGAAGAGGUUCGUUUUCUGAGGUAUUGGGAGAUAUGCAACAUUUAUAGAGUUUAAGGUUGGAUCCUUUUCUUAACCGGCUAUUUAGCACGUUGAGCUGGACCAUCACUGAGUUUUCAGUCUCGGUGCGAGAUAUGCAAGAAAACAAUCAGGUAAUGGAGUUUCAGCAAAGGAAAUGUUGCGUGAUAUUUGAGCUUUCAAGCAAUCUUGCAAGGGUUUCUUGAUGGGUAUAAACAUUUGCAAUUCUGCAAUACCACAAGCAUUUCUUGAUGGGACGGACACAAAUCUUCGCAGGCUCACUGAGGAAGGUGCAAAUAUUCCUGAAGUAAGGCUGCCUGAAGUUGUGGCACCAUGAAGAGAUGACAAAUAUGGUAAGUGGUAACUGUUG